rnacentral:rRNA from 1 species
UUAAAUUGAAGAGUUUGAUCAUGGCUCAGAUUGAACGCUGGCGGCAGGCCUAACACAUGCAAGUCGAACGGUAACAGGAAGCAGCUUGCUGCUUUGCUGACGAGUGGCGGACGGGUGAGUAAUGUCUGGGAAACUGCCUGAUGGAGGGGGAUAACUACUGGAAACGGUGGCUAAUACCGCAUAACGUCGCAAGACCAAAGAGGGGGACCUUCGGGCCUCUUGCCAUCAGAUGUGCCCAGAUGGGAUUAGCUUGUUGGUGAGGUAACGGCUCACCAAGGCGACGAUCCCUAGCUGGUCUGAGAGGAUGACCAGCCACACUGGAACUGAGACACGGUCCAGACUCCUACGGGAGGCAGCAGUGGGGGAAGUAUUGCACGAAUGGGCGGCAAGCCUGAUGCAGCCAUGCCGCGUGUAUGAAGAAGGCCCUUCGGGUUGUAAAGGUAACUUCUCAGCCGGGGAGGAAGGUGUUGUGGUUAAUAACCGCAGCAAUUGACGUUACCCGCAGAAGAAGCACCGGCUAACUCCGUGCCAGCAGCCGCGGUAAUACGGAGGGUGCAAGCGUUAAUCGGAAUUACUGGGCGUAAAGCGCACGCAGGCGGUCUGUCAAGUCGGAUGUGAAAUCCCCGGGCUCAACCUGGGAACUGCAUUCGAAACUGGCAGGCUUGAGUCUUGUAGAGGGGGGUAGAAUUCCAGGUGUAGCGGUGAAAUGCGUAGAGAUCUGGAGGAAUACCGGUGGCGAAGGCGGACCCCCUGGACAAAGACUGACGCUCAGGUGACGAAAAGCGGUGGGGAGCCAAACAGGAUUAGAGUACCCGUGGUAGUCCACGCCGUAAACGAUGUCUAACUUGGACGGUUGUGCCCUUGAGGUCGUGGCUUCCGGAGCUAACGCGUUAAAGUAGACCGCCUGGGGAGUACGGCCGCAAAGGUUAAAACUACAAAUGAAUUGACGGGGGUCCCGCGACAAGCGGUGGAGUAUGUGGUUUAAUUUCGAUGCAACGCGAAGAACCUUACCUGGUCUUGACAUCCACAGAAGAAUCCAGAGUAUUGGAUUUGUGCCUUCGGGAACUGUAGAGACAGGUGCUGUCAUGGCUGUCGUCAGCUCGUGUUUGUAGAAAUGUUGGGGUUUAAGUCCCCGCUAACGAGCGCAACCCCUUAUCCUUUAGUUGUCCAGUCGAUUAGGUUCGGGAACUCAAAAGGAGACUGCCAGUGAUAAAACUGGAAGGAAGGGUCGGGGGAUGACGUCAAGUCAUCAUUGGCCCUUUACGUACCAGGGCUACGACACGUGCUACAAUGGCGCAUACAAAGAGAAGCGACCUCGCGAGAGCAAGCGGACCUCAUAAAGUGCGUCGUAGUCCGGAUUGGAGUCUGCAACUCGACUCCAUGAAGUCGGAAUCGCUAGUAAUCGUGGAUCAGAAUGCCACGGUGAAUACGUUCCCGGGCCUUGUACACACCGCCCGUCACACCAUGGGAGUGGGUUGCAAAAGAAGUAGGUAGCUUAACCUUCGGGAGGGCGCUUACCACUUUGUGAUUCAUGACUGGGGUGAAGUCGUAACAAGGUAACCGUAGGGGAACCUGCGGUUGGAUCACCUCCUUACCUGAAAGAAGC